UUCUCCUUCGCGCAGCCAGUUGCAGGACGUCGUCAAUGUGACAGCAUCAGUUACUAGAUGACAGGCUCCCCACUGCUGGCCGCUCCAAGUGUAUUGAACAAUCGUAGGCAAACAGUAAAUCAUCCGCUAAAUUAAAUGUGUGGCAACGGGACCUGCGACCAACCCGUUCUUCAUGAUGCGUGCACGAGUGCGUCAUGUUUGUAAACACUUGAAAGAUGCUGAACAUAAUUGAAGCUGCUUUUGUGCCUGAAGCCCACUAAAAAGCUACUGAGCAGUGAUUAUUAUCCGGCGUUGGUACAAACUGCAAUUGCGAACAACCCACUCACUCGCACUGAAGGAAGCUCUGAAACAUCGGUAUUGGAGUGUAAAGUUAAGAAAGAGGACAUUGCUGCCCCAAUUGUAUCAUCUCAUCCACGCUUAAACACCAUCGGGAAGAUCCGAGCUAUUCAAUCAUCCGAAGCGUGUGCCAAAUGCCCUGAGCUUGCCAAGCUCGGGGAUGUGCCUGCGACCUUUUUCACGCGUUGAAUUGACUCCAUCUUUGAAGCUUCAGGUACGGCGAAGAGAUGCUGCAAAUUACUCGGCGAGAAGAGUACCUUAAGAACGAGCAAUCAGGCCCGGGCAACAGAUGCCGGUAACGACCUGGCGAACGGCGACAGUUGCUGCCGGUAGAGCCGUCCAGCUUGGAGCUUUGCAAAGCUGCUGCCGAGUGUAGCUGGUGAACGAGCGAGUGAGCGAAAAGAACGAACCUCGGAAAACUGAGAAAUUGAAGUGGAAAAAGAAACGGGUUGCUUUCCAAACCAAACACGAGAUUUCCCUUGCCCGCGCCUGCCUUCGGAACGUUUCUGCUUCACUUAAUCUCGGAUGCCAAUUUGCUUGCCGAAGCACUAUUUGGCAUGGCUUUUUUGGGGUUGCCUGUGGCAGAAGGGAAAAUUCUUCAAAGGACACGCUGGUCAACUCGGGCUUCUUCUGCUGGAGACGUAGAACUUUUUGCCCGUGCCAAUCCCUCUCCGCAAAGACGAACGCACACAUACAGAUGAAAAGGACGUUCAGGACAAUCGAACCAGCAGUGUAGACCCCGGAGUAGAGCAGCCGCCAAAAAAAAAAAAAGGUUCGUGUGAAGGUCAUCAUUAUGGAAAUUGGCGUCUGGGGAGCAGUAGGAAAAACUGGCAAAACCAUGGACCCCUUCCCGAUCAUGGGGCUUUCUGGGUGCAAUAAUGAUGGGAGGAAAUUAUUCAGCCUGAAUGGGGACAGCUUGGAAGCAGGAGUAUGGUUUGGGAGCGCGGUUGUGAUUCUGGAGAGCUCAGAAAGAUUGAAUACGUGCGAACGGGAACUUUUUUGGGUUAGUUGGUCAUUCUUUGGACAAUAACACACAAAUGUUAAACAGUUUUUGUGUG